rnacentral:rRNA from 1 species
GACGAACGCUGGCGGCGUGCUUAACACAUGCAAGUCGAACGGAAAGGCCCUGCUUGCAGGGUACUCGAGUGGCGAACGGGUGAGUAACACGUGGGUGAUCUGCCCUGCACUUCGGGAUAAGCCUGGGAAACUGGGUCUAAUACCGGAUAGGAGCCAUUUUUAGUGUGAUGGUUGGAAAGUUUUUUCGGUGUAGGAUGAGCUCGCGGCCUAUCAGCUUGUUGGUGGGGUAAUGGCCUACCAAGGCGGCGACGGGUAGCCGGCCUGAGAGGGUGGACGGCCACAUUGGGACUGAGAUACGGCCCAGACUCCUACGGGAGGCAGCAGUGGGGAAGAUUGCACAAGGGGCGCAAGCCUGAUGCAGCGACGCCGCGGGGGGGAUGACGGCCUUCGGGUUGUAAACUCCUUUCGCUAGGGACGAAGCUUUUUGUGACGGUACCUAGAGAAGAAGCACCGGCUAAUUACGUG